CACAACUAGCAGGAGAAAUUAUAAAAUUAGUUACUUUUUUUUACCUUAAACUAUGAAAGUUAAUUUGGUUCAGAUACCCAACUCAAAAAGUACAGAUGUCUAUAUUACAGAUUAUUUUCUUGCAGAGUGAUAUUUUAAGUGCUUUUUUCGGUAAUGUUGAGUAUGGCUUGCUGCUUAUGAAGUUCCAAAUUCACCAGAAGGGUUGAAUACAUAAAACCUUUUUUUUUUUUAUACUCUCUUCCUAAUAAUGUCUUGCUACUGAAAAGCAUGUCCAUGUGCUGUAGAGGAUAAGCAAUCAUCCCUUGUUUGUGGCUCUUCCUGCAUGAAUUGCUGCCCUUCUACUGUAGUUUAAGUUCCCAUUUCUUCCUUCCACUCAACUUUACAUUAUUAUGGUUGGAUACAGCACUGAGCUGGCUUCUUUAGCAAUACACUUUAAUGACUUGCCCUCCUUGUGAACAACUGCCAGCUUUCCAGGGCUGUGUCGGCCAUAGCAUAUCAUUUCUGCAAUAACAACAAAAAACAAAUUCCUUCUACUUUUCUUUGAAACUGAAACAUGGAUUUUCAUUAGCUGUAAGUCAUAAUCAUAACAAUUAACAUGAAUAAGCACAAGAUGUGUGUAUUGAAUCAUUAUAGUCUGGAUUUUGAAUUUAAUUAUUGAGAUAUUAGAAUUUUUCAAAAUGCACCUGGAUGUGCAUAAUUGUAUUAGUCAACAUUAACUGGGUAAAUUAAACUCUUGUUGGACCCCCAGGCCAAUCUGGGUCCCCAACAGUUGCUUAGCCCAGUAAUCCAUUGGGCUGCCCCUGAAUAAGAAAUAUACUUGAGAAGCAUCAAGUAAAUAUUUUAUUUUUAAACUUUCCAAAAUAUAAUGUGUCAAAAAGUGACAUGUGACUUCAAAAUGAAUGGCUUCACUAAGUGAUGUAGCAGAAAUGAUUGGUGUACAGAUUCUUAUUUUAGAAUAAAACAUUUGAUAUAUUUAAAAACUUUAAGAAGAUUGGUAGUCUUUUACUUUUUUUUUUUCAAGCCUUAUUUAAAGAAUCAAACUCUCGUUUGACUCGUCGGCAAUGAGACAGAUUCACUGACAGGCUGAACUCUCACAGAGGAGAGAAGGUUUGAGAGCUUUUGCCUUAGUUGUGUCUCACAAGACCGGCCCGUAGAAGGGAGAUGGCCUCAGCAUUUUUUUGCCCACACACUGAAAACGUAUUGUCCAAAUCACAAAACAUUGAGUGAGAUCAGCAGACUUGUCAAGAGGCCCUGGCUUGAAUAUGAAUGAUGAGAGAAGAGCAGGGUGGUCCUCGUGCUGUUUUGGUGUUAGGCAGGUGAACAUAAGCUUAACUGUCUCUGGCAGCUGUCCAUCGCCGAAUCAGCAGAGGUUACCGCUGUAGAAAAGAGAGCGAGAGGGAGAGAAAAACACAGCUAUUUAGCACUUUUAUGUAAAUUGGCUCUGGAAACUGAGAGAAAGCAUCUGCAGGCCCUAGUGUAAUUCUCAAAAUAUUUGUUUUUCAGUGAUUGCAAAUUUUAAGUGCUAAUAUGAAAUCAUGACUCUGUCUUCCUCAAAUUUGAUCAACUUCUUCUCUCCUGGUGAAUUGAAAAAUGCUGGAAGUUGUUUUUUUGAAGUUCUUGCAUAUAUAUAUAUAUAUAUAUAUAUAUAUAUAUAUAUAUAUAUACUGUAUAUAUUUCUGUCAAUCUGCUGAAAUUGAGACAUAACACCUCCCAUUCUUUCCUGUCCUUAACACAUGCACGCACGCUAGCUCAAUUCACUCAAGUGUCUGCAUAGUUCUUCGCAUUCAACUGGAUACAAUGAUGCACAAGAUGAAUAAAGUUAUCUCUGCAGCUGAAAGGGAUGUUGCCGGUGGGAGGGAACGGGGAGGUUCCCCCUGUGCUCCCGAGCCUGAAAAGAGCCAGGCUUUGAGGGCCGCUGCUGUAGAGGUCAGGGACCCAGCUGCUUUUAGGGCUGAAAGGGACACUGGCGGGCUGGACCGGCCGCGAACAAAAAAAAAAAAAAAAAAAACACACAAUCACGUCAAAUAAAGACAUCUCAGAUUGGAUGCUGACAGAUCCCUUCCCAAAGUCGCUGAACUCACUCAGCUCAAACUUUGCUCGGGUUUGUAUCAUGUUGCACAGUCUGAGUCCCACCUCACUUGAGCCUGACAUAUAAAUCUUAGAGCUUUUUUUUGUUUUAAUUUUGGAGUCUGAAAACAACAUUUCUACCCAGUUAAUUUUGGAGUGGACAUCCCUGUCUGAACGCACACUUUCUAACCAAGCAACCUUCCACCUCAGUUGGGUCUAUUUUGGUGAAGCAACUAAAAGGGACCUCCACUGUGGAUGAAAUUUAGCCACAAUCCCUCUGACCUUUUGGGUUCAACGUUUGUCUCCAGUCCAGUGACCACAAACAACUCCUGGAUUGCUGUAAAUGUCAGUGCAGCGGUGUCCCCGCCCUAUCCCCUGUGAACCACAGAGCUGCACUCAACCUGCACUAACAGGACAAUUUCAUGAGGGCUCCAUUAUCAGUUAGACCAGGUUUGAUAACUCAGGUUUCCUUCUAAUGAUGUCUCUAUAACCUGAAGAGCUAUCAUCAGUCAGGCAGUAAAGAGUCUCUUGUACUUUUUUUUUUCUUUUACUUUUAUCCAGCCAAAAAUAUCAUACGAGUCAAAGGUAGAAAUUAUUAAAAAUAAUUUUGACCUAUUUUGUGUACCACCCAGUGUUCACCAUCUAUCAUAAUUGUCAGAUGUAAUAGAUUGUAAUUUAUAUCCUGAAGACACUGGUUGUAAUGCAUUCCAUUUUGAAGCACUUUGGCUCACACUUCCCCCCACCCAUAAACAGACACGCUCCCUUUUCUCUGCUCCCUGGGCCUCCUGAGGUUGGUGUCUCUGCUUUAGAACUCCAUUGUUGCCUGCUGCUGGAUAAUGCCCUUAUUAAUUGUACCUCUUUGUAAGGUGUCAGCUGUAGCCUCAGAUUGAGAUGGAUGGAUCUCUGGAGUCUGCUUCCCUGGCCCUCCAUAGACUCUCUAUCUCUGCGCAACACACAGAUGCAACAGCAAGCUCUGCCACAUAUGACUAAAAGCCUUGAUAAAACAGGCAUUUUAAUUGUUGCACCAGAAAGGAAAAGGUCUCCAACUAAAACCUAAUAAAGGUAAUUUUACCUAUUUCUAAGGUGAGUUGGCGUCUUACGUAGGAUCCAUAACAAAGCUGAAUUAUAUCUAGAUUUCUUUUCUAUAUUGAUUAUUUCAGUUUAUUGCAGAUAUGCUGCUUAAUUAAGUGCAUUGAACCCUUUGUGAAUUUAGCUGCAUUGACAUCAAAUCCUCCAGCUCUCAUUAAAGGAAACAGAGUCAGUUUAAUUAAUGUAUAUUAAGCUCCACUGAUACUAUUUUUUUAGCUUUGAGUAAAGUGUGGUGGUGCCUCCGUUGGGUCCUAAAAAGAAAGGUUUGAUUGCUUCCUUAAGAAUAAGACCUUUAUUUUAUUAUUAUUAUUAUUAUUAUUAUUAUUAUUAUUGCUCCUUAAUCAUUUGCAGAUGUAUUAAUUAAAUUGCAAUAUAUUGAAAUGGGUGAAAUAAUAAAUAAGGAUUACUAACGGUAUCUCUCACAUUAGUUUGUUUCGAUUUAAGACAACCUACAGAAUAAUAGUAGUAGCUCUGUCUCCCUCAUGUUUUACUGCUAUGGUGUAAAAUGUGAUUGCUAUUUUUUCAAUUAAAAAAAUUUACUGUG